UACAGAGGUCUCAACCGUUGUUCGGAUUCAUUGGGCGUAAAGGGUGCGUAGGCGGUCGCGCAAGUCGGGUGUGAAAUCUCGGGGCUUAACUCCGAAACUGCAUUCGAUACUGCCGUGCUUGAGGACUGGAGAGGAGACUGGAAUUUACGGUGUAGCGGUGGAAUGCGUAGAUAUCGUAAGGAAGACCAGUGGCGAAGGCGGGUCUCUGGACAGUUCCUGACGCUGAGGCACGAAGGCCAGGGGAGCAAACGGG
rnacentral:rRNA from 1 species